CCUCCACCCCUUAAAAGAAAUUUCGUCCACGAAAUUUUCGUACAUGUAGUUCAAGAGUAGAUUAUACUUCUUCCAAACUAAGUCAUAACACUCUUCAAAUCAAAGUCGUCUUGUCUGGGGCAACUGCUGUUGCAUCUGCAUAAGGCCCACUAUGGUUUGCAUAACCUGGCCUAGGCCCGGUUCUUGUCGUCCUGUCUGAGUAUCACUAGCAGGAUUGACGACUCUCUCCUGCUGAGGGGUGUUACCAACUUGUUGGGAUGUGCUGUCAUUUUGCGGGUUGGGUGCCUUAUUAGUAGCUCUGCGAGUAGUUUUUUUCUCGUCCGACGUGGAGGCAUCCUGACCUAUGUCUAUCAGAUAGCAGCAUGCCAAUAAUAAGCUUACCAGUUCAUUACAAGUACAUGGAAUGGUUGUUACAAUCAUCAUAAACUAACGUCCCAAUGUCCCUAGUGUCUACCCACCUACACUCAUGUCAUGUCAGAUUUUUUUAUUUCAUAAUUUAUCCAAUUAUGCUCUGAUACCAUAAAAGUUGUCACGCCCCCGUCUCGAGAUCGCGAGCCGGGGGUCCGCGCCAAUCUUUUUUCAGCUGAAAUAAAUGCAAUCUUAUUCCAUUGACUAACUCAAGUCAUAGGGUUUCACAAGUCUAAAUACGCAGCGGAACAAUAAAGAUAAAACAUCAAUUUAAACAAAGCCUAAUCUAGGAUAACUUGUGCUUCAGUUCUUCUAGUCGCUCUCCCAUUUUAAAUCCCCGAUAGGUUAGUUCUCAGAAUAUUGAACGCGAUCCACAACAAAUCCAAUUAAUCUCACAAAUUCCUCGCAGAACCUCAGCCCCGGCGAAGAUCCGGCGGCUUCUUUCCGGCGGCAAACGGAGGAGGAAAAGGAUCGUCCGCGCUGUGGCUUCUCGGCUCCCUCUCUCUCCCUCUCGGGCGGCAGCGGCUCCUCUUCCCCUCCCUUCAAAGAGAGGAGAAGCCCUAAAAAGACUGGGGGAGCCGGCUUCUUCGGGAUGGCUCCCCCCCCUCUCACACGCCCUCACGUGCGACGCACGUGAGGCCAAAAUUUGGGCUGGGCCGGUCAAUGGACCGGGCCCAGUUUCGGGAUCUCACAUCCUCCACCCCUUAAAAGAAAUUUCGUCCACGAAAUUUUCGUACAUGCAGUUCAAGAGUAGAGAAAUACUUCUUCCAAAUCAAGUCAUAACACUUUUCAAAUCAAAGUCGUCUUGUUUGAUCAAUAUCAAAUAAUUCUAUUCACCACACUUUCUCUGCACACACUGGUUUAAACCUCAACAUACCCGUGUCAAGUCUAGAUUUUUUUUUUCCUAGAAUUACUUGCUUAUUGGUACAUUCAUUAUUAUGUCUUAAUCCGUGUGAACAUUUUCGAAAUUUAAAAGUUCAUAUUCUUCUUUUGACAACUAAUCAAAAAUGUUAUGUAACUAUUUAAUCUUUUCUAGUAGUAUAAUGAGUUAUCUAACAAAGAGUAGUGGGUAUGGUUAGACAAUAAAUAGAAAUAAAUAUUGGGACUAGAUUAAUACCUGUCGUCAACACAUCAGAAGCCAGAAUGGUUGUUACAAUCAUCAUAAACUAACGUCCCAAUGUCCCUAGUGUCUACCCACCUACACUCAUGUCAUGUCAGAGUAUUUUUUUUUUAAUCUUAGAAUUUAUCCAUUCAUGCUCUGAUACCAUAAAAGUUGUCACGCCCCCGGCCCGAGAUCGCGAGCCGGGGGUCCGCGCCAACCGCCGCACACCCGUAGGAAACUCUCCCCACGAGCAUGCAAGGCAUCUAAACCAAAUAUCUCAAAUAUAUAACUAAAAUAAUUCAGCUGAAAUAAAUGCAAUCUUAUUCCAUUGACUGACACAAAUUAUAUAGUUUCACAGUUCUAAAUACGCAGCGGAACAAUAAAGAUAGAACAUUAACUUAAAUAAAAUCUAAUCUAAGAUAACUUGUGUCAUAAUUUUUGUAUUCGCUCUCCCAUAUUGUAAAACCCCCGGAUCGAGCUAAUUCUUCGGAUAUUGAAUGCGAUCCACAACAAAUCCAAUUAAUUUCACAAAUUCCUCGCAGAACCUCAGCCCCGGCGAAGAUCCGGCGGCUUCUUUCCGGCGGCAAACGGAGGAGGAAAAGGAUCGUCCGCGCUGUGGCUUCUCGGCUCCCUCUUCCUCUCUUUCUCUCCGGCAACGCGAAGAAGACCCUCCCUCUUUUCCUCUCUCUCGGCCGGCAGCGGCUCCUCUUCCCCUCUCUUCAAAGAGAGGAGAAGCCCUAAAAAAAGAAUGGGGGAGCCGGCUUCUUCGGGAUGGCUCCCCCCCUUCUCACACGCCCUCACGUGCGACGCACGUGAGGCCAAAAAUUUGGGCUGGGCCGGUCAAUGGGCCGGGCCCAGUUUCGGGAUCUCACAU
rnacentral:lncRNA from 1 species